rnacentral:rRNA from 1 species
AUUGAACGCUGGCGGCAUGCCUUACACAUGCAAGUCGAACGGUAACAGGUUAAGCUGACGAGUGGCGAACGGGUGAGUAGUAUAUCGGAACGUGCCCAGUCGUGGGGGAUAACGCAGCGAAAGCUACGCUAAUACCGCAUACGAUCUACGGAUGAAAGCGGGGGAUCGCAAGACCUCGCGCGAUUGGAGCGGCCGAUAUCAGAUUAGGUUGUUGGUGAGGUAAAAGCUCACCAAGCCUGCGAUCUGUAGCGGGUCUGAGAGGACGACCAGCCACACUGGAACUGAGACACGGUCCAGACUCCUACGGGGGGCAGCAGUGGGGAAGUUUGGACAAUGGACGCAAGUCUGAUCCAGCAAUGCCGCGUGCAGGACGAAGGCCUUCGGGUUGUAAACUGCUUUUGUACGGAACGAAACGGUGAGCUCUAAUACAGUUUGCUAAUGACGGUACCGUAAGAAUAAGCACCGGCUAACUACGUGCCAGCAGCCGCAGUAA